UACGUAGGGGGCAAGCGUUGUCCGGAUUUACUGGGCGUAAAGAGCGUGUAGGCGGCCAAGCAGGUCCGUUGUGAAAACUGGAGGCUUAACCUCCAGACGUCGACGGAAACCGCGUGGCUAGAGUCCGGAAGAGGAGAGUGGAAUUCCUGGUGUAGCGGUGAAAUGCGCAGAUAUCAGGAAGAACACCCGUGGCGAAGGCGGCUCUCUGGUACGUGACUGACGCUGAGACGCGAAAGCGUGGGGAGCGAACAGG
rnacentral:rRNA from 1 species